CCUACGGGUGGCUGCAGUGAGGAAUAUUGGUCAAUGGACGAGAGCCUGAACCAGCCAAGUCGCGUGAAGGAUGACGGCCCUACGGGUUGUAAACUUCUUUUGUCAGGGCGCAAUUGGGUCCACGCGUGGGCUUAGCUAGAGUACCUGACGAACAAGCAUCGGCUACCUCCGUGCCCGCAGGCGCGGUAAUUCGGAGGAUGCGAGCGUUAUUCGUAUUUUUUGGGUUUUAAGGGUGCGUAGGCGGAAUAUCAAGUCAGCGGUAAAAAUUCGGGGCUCAACCCCGUCGUGCCGUUGAAACUGAUGGUCUUGAGUGGGCGAGAAGUAUGCGGAAGGCGUGGUGUAGCGGUGAAAUGCAUAGAUAUCACGCAGAACUCCGAUUGCGAAGGCAGCAUACCGGCGCCCAACUGACGCUGAAGCACGAAAGCGUGGGUAUCGAACAGGAUUAGAUACCCCAGGAGUC
rnacentral:rRNA from 1 species